CUCAGGAGAAGGAACUCGGCAAAUUGAUACCGUAACUUCGGGAGAAGGUAUGCCCCGUUAGCUUGUAGGAGUACAUCCGAAGGGCGAAGGGGCCGCAGAGAAUCGGUGGCUGCGACUGUUUAUUAAAAACACAGCACUCUGCAAACACGAAAGUGGACGUAUAGGGUGUGACGCCUGCCCGGUGCCGGAAGGUUAAGUGAUGGGGUGCAAGCUCUUGAUCGAAGCCCCGGUAAACGGCGGCCGUAACUAUAACGGUCCUAAGGUAGCGAAAUUCCUUGUCGGGUAAGUUCCGACCUGCACGAAUGGCGUAACGAUGGCCACACUGUCUCCUCCUGAGACUCAGCGAAGUUGAAGUGUUUGUGAAGAUGCAAUCUCCCCGCGGCUAGACGGAAAGACCCCAUGAACCUUUACUGUAGCUUUGCAUUGGACUUUGACGGGACUUGUGUAGGAUAGGUGGGAGGCAUUGAAACCGGGACGCUAGUUCCGGUGGAGCCAACCUUGAAAUACCACCCUGGUGUCGUUGAGGUUCUAACCCAGGUCUGUGAAUCCAGAUCGGGGACCGUGCAUGGUGGGCAGUUUGACUGGGGCGGUCUCCUCCCAAAAGGUAACGGAGGAGUACGAAGGUCUUCUAGGUACGGUCGGACAUCGUACUGAUAGUGCAAUGGCAAAAGAAGGCUUGACUGCGAGACCCACAAGUCGAGCAGGUGCGAAAGCAGGUCAUAGUGAUCCGGUGGUUCUGUAUGGAAGGGCCAUCGCUCAACGGAUAAAAGGUACUCUGGGGAUAACAGGCUGAUUCCGCCCAAGAGUUCACAUCGACGGCGGAGUUUGGCACCUCGAUGUCGGCUCAUCACAUCCUGGGGCUGUAGCCGGUCCCAAGGGUAUGGCUGUUCGCCAUUUAAAGUGGUACGUGAGCUGGGUUUAAAACGUCGUGAGACAGUUUGGUCCCUAUCUGCCGUGGGCGCUGGAUAUUUGAGGGGGCCUGCUCCUAGUACGAGAGGACCGGAGUGGACGAAUCUCUGGUGUACCGGUUGUGACGCCAGUCGCAUCGCCGGGUAGCUAAAUUCGGAAGAGAUAACCGCUGAAAGCAUCUAAGCGGGAAACUCGCCUCAAGAUGAGAUAUCCCUGGGAACUUGAUUCCCCUAAAGGGUCGUUGAAGACCACGACGUUGAUAGGCUGGGUGUGGAAGCGCAGUAAUGCGUUAAGCUAACCAGUACUAAUUGCCCGUGAGGCUUGAUCCU
rnacentral:rRNA from 1 species